UACGUAGGGGGCAAGCGUUGUCCGGAAUCACUGGGCGUAAAGGGUGCGUAGGCAGGUCUUUAAGUCAGGGGUGAAAUCCUGGAGCUCAACUCCAGAACUGCCUUUGAUACUGAAGAUCUUGAGUUCGGGAGAGGUGAGUGGAACUGCGAGUGUAGAGGUGAAAUUCGUAGAUAUUCGCAAGAACACCAGUGGCGAAGGCGGCUCACUGGCCCGAUACUGACGCUGAGGCACGAAAGCGUGGGGAGCAAACAGG
rnacentral:rRNA from 1 species